GUGACAACUUCUGCUAAGGCUUUGGAAGCUGUGUGAUAAGCUAAUGUGGUUUAAUAUAACAGGGCAGAACGUGGUUAGAAUGGCAAAGAUGGAGCCAGUGUGUGAAGUUCUUAUUCGGAAAAAAUACAUGGAAUGGGACUUAUUUCAGUUUUUCUGCACUUAAGUGCCUCAAGGGGUGUGGCUCAGAAUGGAACCUUGAGGCUGACAGCAAUUCUAGAAGAGUUGGGUGUUCUAACCACAUUCUGCGGGAGGGAUGCUAGCAAAACUCCAGACAUAUGGAAUCCUAAGCAGCAAAGAAUCAUCUUUGAUAAAAUCUUGUUGUUUUUGAUGACUACAGGUCAUUAAUAUGGACACAAUGAAAAUAUUUUGACCAAAAUGGCACUGGUUAAAAUGAUAGCUAGAGGCCAUGUCAAGUGAUUGACCCGUAUCAUCUAGGUUUGUGAAGACUGCUUUUUGUUAACACUGAAGAGAACUAUGCAUAACCCACCCAAAGGGCAUGAAUUCUUCCGAGAAAAAGAUGUGGGAGGCGCUCACCUUUCUUGGUGACUGUGAAACUGCAGCUACAGAAGGUUCCUGUUGCCUAGAUUCCCCUGCAGAAUCUGAUAGGCAAAGCUGGGAUUCAGCAAGUAUGAUAUCUGUGGAGAUGGCUACAAUCUAAUGUCUACAGAUGUAAUGGCUCUGUGACUCUGAAGAAGGCUCCAGGGAGCUACUGAAGAAAAACCCACAUUUCCCAGCAACACUAAUACCAGUACUGUACCACUAAUAAAGUCCCAUCUUCUAGGCAGAGUUCUAAGUGCUUCACCUGUACUAAGCCUCACAAUACCCUCUGGGGGCAGGUACUGUUAUCCCCAGUUUAGAGAUGAAGUACUUCAUGCUCAAAGAAUGAAGGGAAGGGACUUGCUCAAAGUUGCCUGUCAGGCACUGAACGUGGACAGGCAGGCUCCACAGCUCCAUGCAUCACUACUGCAGUAGCUAUGCCCUCUGCGAUGCCCAGUGUCAGAUAUCAUCAUCCCUUUGAAGACCUUUGCUCCAGAGAGAAACUUCAUCCCAUGUUGGCCUCACACUGGCGUGUUGGUCUCCUAAAGCUCCUGACAGCCAUCUUAAUUUUGAUUUCUAUUUAAUUUUCCAGCUCACAAAGCAAUGCCAGGGAGAGGCAGGCCGCUGAUACCUUUCG